rnacentral:rRNA from 1 species
GAUGAACGCUGGCGGCGUGCCUAAUACAUGCAAGUCGAGCGAACAGAUAAGGAGCUUGCUCCUUUGACGUUAGCGGCGGACGGGUGAGUAACACGUGGGUAACCUACCUAUAAGACUGGGAUAACUUCGGGAAACCGGAGCUAAUACCAGAUAACAUUUGGAACCGCAUGGUUCUAAAGUGAAAGAUGGUUUUGCUAUCACUUAUAGAUGGACCCGCGCCGUAUUAGCUAGUUGGUAAGGUAACGGCUUACCAAGGCGACGAUACGUAGCCGACCUGAGAGGGUGAUCGGCCACACUGGAACUGAGACACGGUCCAGACUCCUACGGGAGGCAGCAGUAGGGAAUCUUCCGCAAUGGGCGAAAGCCUGACGGAGCAACGCCGCGUGAGUGAUGAAGGGUUUCGGCUCGUAAAACUCUGUUAUUAGGGAAGAACAAAUGUGUAAGUAACUGUGCACGUCUUGACGGUACCUAAUCAGAAAGCCACGGCAAACUACGUG